AAUGAUAGCUGUUGUUAUUAUUGUUACUAUAUUUAGAUUCUAUUGUCAUUAUACUUAGAGUCUAUUCCUACAAGUGCAUAGAGCUUCAGGGACGAAAAUCUGCAUUCCCUUGAUCAAGUCCUUUUUUUUCUUCCAAAAUGUUCAAUGGCGACCGACUGCCUGUAGUAAAUGGCUCAAACUUCUUGGCUUGGCUCGCAGGGACAGAACCUUGACUCCCUCCUUCUUGAUAAUAGUCACUGGACACUCGGAAGGCCUAUGAAGCAGGUAAAAUUAUUACCCUCGUCUACAUCUUACAGAUGGGGAAACUGAGAAGGAAAGAAAGGACCCCUAGCCACCCCCUGUCAGGGCCCCAGCCUGGCCCCGGCCUGUGGAUGACUGUCAGGACCGGAGUGUGCUGUGAUAAACCAGAGCACGUGCACCAAUGGAGAGACCACCGCCUGGGAGAGAAGGCUCGGGCGUGCUGGCUUUUCCAUGAUUAAUGCGGAGAGAAUGGCUUCGACGCUUCGCAGGGCCCGGCCGGAGGAGAAGUGGCCCUUUCCCCCUCCUUCUCAGGCGCCUGUCUGGAGGACGGCUCUCUGGUGCCUAAGGGCAACGUCACUCACUAGACUGAAUUCAGUUUCUGGAGCUGGCCACAUGACAAUUCUCCGUGAUAGUGACUGGGCCCUACAUCCAAGGCAGCCUCUGUCUGACUCUAGCACAAUUUAUGAAAAGCCAAAAGUAUCUUCCUCUCUGCUCCCUUCAUCCUGUGCACAUUCUCACCUCUCGGCCUUUGCCCUCGCUCUUGCCUUCACCGGGAUGCCCUCUUCUCUCUGCCUUGUUUGAUCCAGCCCCCGGGACCAACCUCUGAGACCCAGCUGAUGGCCCUGGCUGGACCCCUGGUUCUCUUAUUACUCUGGGUAAGUCCCAUGGCUGCUCUGGGCCUCAGUUUUGCAAUAAAGCAUUGAACUGAGGGUCCUCUCGGUUCCUUCCGGUCCUGACAUUGCAAAUGGCAGAUACUGUAGUGUCCACCACAAGAAGGACAUGAUCCUGACUACUUGGACUCCCUUGGCUCAUUGAAGACCUGUCAGACUUGCAGUCAGGAGAGUGGGGACAGUUGGCUGUACGGCCCAUGAAGGUUUGUAGCCACCACCGCAGAGACUGUAGGCAACCGGAGGAGAGGGUUGGGCCUGUGUUUACUGACCCUCCCGUCCUCAGCCCGGCACAGCGUUCAACACCAAAGCUGUUCAAUAAGUAAUCAGCAGAUGAAUGCAUGCAUGUUUGAGAAGCGGUAUGGCAAGUAUUAUUAGUAGAAGCUGAGGUUGGAGUCCAAUGCAGUCAAGUUAGGGCUCCUUAACCUUAAGCUCCAAAGAGAGAAGCCCCCUCCCCCCACCUUUGUCUUU